rnacentral:snoRNA from 1 species
AGGAGUCACAGCGUUUUCUCCUGAGCGUGAAGCCAGCAUUUGGUGUUGUUUUCGUUGCAACUGCCAUCUGCUAUUGAUGAUCGUUCUUACUCUUCUCAGGGAGAGUUAGAGGGAGAGAAUGCAUUCUGA